rnacentral:rRNA from 1 species
AUACGGAGGGUGCAAGCGUUAAUCGGAAUUACUGGGCGUAAAGCGCACGCAGGCGGUUUGUUAAGUCAGAUGUGAAAUCCCCGGGCUCAACCUGGGAACUGCAUCUGAUACUGGCAAGCUUGAGUCUCGUAGAGGGGGGUAGAAUUCCAGGUGUAGCGGUGAAAUGCGUAGAGAUCUGGAGGAAUACCGGUGGCGAAGGCGGCCCCCUGGACGAAGACUGACGCUCAGGUGCGAAAGCGUGGGGAGCAAACAGGAUUAGAUACCCUGGUAGUCCACGCCGUAAACGAUGUCGACUUGGAGGUUGUGCCCUUGAGGCGUGGCUUCCGGAGCUAACGCGUUAAGUAUUCCACCUGGGGAGUACGUUCGCAAGAAUGAAACUCAAAGGAAUUGACGGGG